rnacentral:rRNA from 1 species
UCAUUCUAGAUACACUUUCCAGUACAUCUACUAUGUUACGACUUAUCUUACCUUAAAAAUAAGAGCGACGGGCGAUGUGUACAUAUUUUAGAGCUAUAAUCAAAUUAUUAAUCUUUAUAAUUUUACAACCAAAUCCACUUUCAAAAAUUUUUUCAUAAUUUUAUUCAUUUAAAUAAAUUUAUUGUAACCCAUUAUUACUUAAAUAUAAGCUACACCUUGAUCUGAUAUAAAUUUUUAUAAAAAUUAUUGAAUAUUAUUAUUCUUAUAAAAUAUUCUGAUAACGACGGUAUAUAAACUGAUUACAAAUUCAAGUAAGGUCCAUCGUGGAUUAUCGAUUACAAAACAGGUUCCUCUGGAUAGACUAAAAUACCGCCAAAUUUUUUAAGUUUCAAGAACAUAACUAUU